rnacentral:lncRNA from 1 species
UGACCCUGCUCCUCCAACCCUCUUUGUGAGAGAUGAAAGUCAAAAUGCGUACAUGUCGAAUACAGCAGUGUUCCAGUUUGUUUGAAUUCUUAAGUGAAAACAUUCACUCUAGAGUUCACCAUAAAGUGAAGUAAAAUCCUGAAAUAAGCUUUGGCAAUAGAAUCAUCAGGAAAUUCCUAUGGAAAAAAGUUGAAUAUCUGUGCCUGUGGAUGGGACAUAAACCUUCUCAGAGAGGCUGAAGCAAGAUUCCUGGAAUAAAAUAAGUGUAUAUUCUUGUAGGAGUUAGCACUUUCUACUUUACUCUGGAGAAGAUAAUCAGAUCCAACAAGAUCUGCUAUUUCCCAAAGUCAAACAGGAAUGGAGUGAUCGAUAUGAUGAGAAAAUGCAAGUUUUACUGCUUCAUUUCUUUUUGCCUUCCUCCAGGAAAUUUGUGUUUGGAUGGGAUAGUCUUCAGAUUUCUCAAGUUCAGAUUCACUGGGAGAAGCAGCAUAUUAAGUCACAGGGCUUCCCAAAUGGCUCAGUGGUAAAGAAUCCACCUGCUAAUGCAGGAGGUGCAGGUUCAAUCCCUGGGUGAAGAAUACCUCUUGGAGAAGGAAAUAGCAACCCACUCCAGUACUCUCACCUGGAAGAUCCCAUGAACAGAGGAGCUGACGAGCUACAGUCCAUGGAGUCACAGAAGAGUCGGACAUGACCUAAUGACUAAACAACAACUCUUGCAGAGCUUCUUUUAUUGAAUUGAGCAUUGGUAUAACUAGGUCUAGACUGAGACACGUGGAAGCCAUGGGUAAGACAGUCAUGCGACACCCCACCAAACCAAUGUUUUAAAAGGAUAUUUUUAAUA